rfam:Pedobacter ginsenosidimutans strain KACC 14530 contig31, whole genome shotgun sequence.
CAAUAAACCCAGUAGCAACGGAAAUCCUUUUUAUUGCUUAAGACCCAUCUCUCCUAUUAUUGCUGCUGGUAGCACAAAAUUUGCAAUAAAAAGAUUGGAGUGAAUAACGGGGCUGCAG